AAUUUGCCUCUGUCAAUCUAUCUACUGCUGCUAAUCUAUCGCCGCUGUCAAUCUAUCUCUCACUGCUAAGCUAUCCCUCACUGCUAAGCUAUCACUGCCAAUCUAUCGCUGCUAAUCUAUCGCUGCCAACCUAUCUACCGCGGCGAAUCUAUCUAUCGCUGCCAAUUUAUCUACCACUGCCAAUCUAUCUAUCGCUGCCAAUCUAUUGCUGCUAAUCUAUCGCUGCUAAUCUAUCGCUGCUGCCAAUCUAUCUAUCGCUGCUAAUCUAUCGCCGCUGCCAAUCUAUCCCUCGCUGCUAAGCUAUCCCUCACUGCUAAGCUAUCCCUCGCUGCUAAGCUAUCCCUCACUACUAAGCUAUCUAUUGCUGCUAAUCUAUCACUGCUAAUCUAUCGCUGCUAAUCUAUCGCUGCUAAUCUAUCGCUGCCAAUCUAUCGCUGCCAACCUAUCUACUGCAGUGAAUAGGCUGGCCGGUGGGACCAUGAAUUUCAUGUUUGGUUUGGUUUGGUUUGGUCCCAGUCCAUUUCUUGGUGUGAUUUUCAGUGAGACCAGGAUCAGAAUGGGAGUGUAAAGUGACUAGAAUUAUUAGAACAUGAGUGAAAUGGGACUAAUAAAUCUUGAUAUUUCAUGUAAAGUGACUGACUAUCAAAAAUAAGAACAUGAUCUGGGACUGACUAUGAUUUUGACUGAGGUUUGGUCCUGUUCUGAUGAUUAUAUAAUACAUAUCUUAGAUAUCAAUCUGAUGAUAUGAUUGGUGGAGAUAUCACCCCUAUCUAGUGCUGUCAACCAAUCUAUUGCUGCCAAGCUAUCCCUCACUGCUAAGCUAUCACUGCCAACCUAUCUACCGCGGCGAAUCUAUCUAUCGCUGCCAAUUUAUCUACCACUGCCAAUCUAUCUAUCGCUGCCAAUCUAUUGCUGCUAAUCUAUCGCUGCUGCCAAUCUAUCUAUCGCUGCUAAUCUAUCGCUGCUAAUCUAUCACUGCCAACCUAUCUAUUGCUGCCAAUUUAUCUACCACUGCCAAUCUAUCUAUCACUGCUAAUCUAUCGCUGCCAACCUAUCUACCGCGGCGAAUCUAUCCAUCACUGCCAAUUUAUCUACCACUGUCAAUCUAUCUAUUGCUGCUAAUCUAUCACUGCUAAUCUAUCACUGCUAAUCUAUUGCUGCUAAUCUAUUGCUGCUGCCAAUCUAUCUAUCACUGCUAAUCUAUUGCUGCUAAUCUAUCACUGCUAAUCUAUCGCUGCUAAUCUAUCGCUGCUAAUCUAUCACUGCUAAUCUAUCGCUGCCAACCUAUCUACCGCGGCGAAUCUAUCUAUUGCUGCCAACCAAUCUACCACUGCCAAUCUAUCUAUCACUGCCAAUCUAUCACUGCCAAUCUAUCGCUGCCAACCUAUCUACUGCAGUGAAUCUAUCUAUCACUAUCAUUACUAGUUCAAAAUAGAACUAGAGCAUAAAUACACUAAACUUCUUUUGAUAGAUAAUGAUUUUUGAUAACACUCAUAGCAUUAUAUCAUCUAUAUAGGGUAAAUCAUGGUCCCAUUUGGUCCCAUUUUAAAUGGGACCAGAAUCAGUAAUUUAUAAGAAGAACAUGACCUGGGACUAGAUUUAUAAUAUAAACAGUGUAAAGUGACUAAUUUAAUAAACACUAUAUGGAACCAGAACUAAGAAAUUUGAUAAUGGA
rnacentral:sRNA from 1 species